rnacentral:rRNA from 1 species
GACGAACGCUGGCGGCGUGCCUAAUACAUGCAAGUAGAACGCUGAAGGAGGAGCUUGCUUCUCUGGAUGAGUUGCGAACGGGUGAGUAACGCGUAGGUAACCUGCCUGGUAGCGGGGGAUAACUAUUGGAAACGAUAGCUAAUACCGCAUAAUAUUGACUAUUGCAUGAUAGUCAGUUGAAAGGUGCAACUGCACCACUACCAGAUGGACCUGCGUUGUAUUAGCUAGUUGGUGGGGUAACGGCUCACCAAGGCGACGAUGCAUAGCCGACCUGAGAGGGGGAUCGGCCACACUGGGACUGAGACACGGCCCAGACGCCUACGGGAGGCAGCAGUAGGGAAUCGUCGGCAAUGGACGGAAGUCUGACCGAGCAACGCCGAGUGAGGGAAGAAGGUUGUCGGAUCGUAAAGCUCUGUUGUAAGAGAAGAACGAGUGUGAGAGUGGAAAGCUCACACUGUGACGGUAUCUUACCAGAAAGGGACGGCUAACUACGUG